rnacentral:misc_RNA from 1 species
AUAUCAGAACGCAGCCGUAGUACUGAAUGCACCCAUUGUAUCCAUAACAGGUAUACCUACACUGCGUUCAUACGAUCUUCGAGUAGGAUCAGAACGUGAAUAAUUUCUCUCUUUAGUGAGCACGAAUAGCAACUUUUGCAUUUGCGACGAUUAGCGAUAUUACAGAUUUUAUUACAGUUUAUUACAGUUAUACGUAAGACUCGCACGAUAAACACGCACUUAUGAAUAAUUACAUGAAUAAAUCAUUUGUGUCGCGGAAACCGGCACAUAAGUUAUCCCCACGAUACCGAUCUAUAGUUCUGUGUAAAAUAAGGGAGCGUUUAAAGUUGGCACAUAUUGCAACAUAUAAAAGUGUAGAUGGAAAAUCAAAGAAUAGUGCCAAUUUGCAAAGCUGUGAUUCCCAUAAUUCAUUAACUCCAGAAUGUAGUACCUCUGAAUUUCGUUUUGUUAACAGUGUUCCGCACUUUGCUGAUGUAGAGUAUACUUUUUGCAAUGAUUCCAUGUCAAAUGAUAAUUCUCAUAUAGUACAUAACAGAAACAUUAUUAAUGAUGAUUCUUCUUCAUCGUCUUCAAAUACAUCUGAAUGUGGAACAUUGUUUCAUGACAAUUUUGGCCAAUCAUCCUUUCGUGAACAGCUAGCUUCCUGUUUUGUUGACAACAAUUUUACUCAUGUUUAAGGUAAUAGUGUAUUAUCUCUUCUUAGAACACAUUCAUGCUUCUCUAAUUUGCCCAAAGACACUAGAACACUUCUUAAUACACCAUGCAAUAAUAUUGUUGUGUUAAACGUUGAGCCAGGAGAAUACAUUCACUUUGAUUUCCAAAUAGCUUUAAUUGAAUAUCUUUCAUAUAUGUCCAUGGCAGCAAUUCCUUCACAUAUUGAAUUAGAUAUUCACACAGAUGGGUGUACAUUAGAUAGAGCGGGUAGUGUUCAUCUAUGGCCUAUUCAAUGUAGAAUAGCGAAUGUACAACACGCCAAACCAAUAAUUGUUGGUAUAUACAAAGGUUCACAAAAGCCCCAUAAUCCGAAUAGUUUCUUCGAAGCAUUUAUUACAGAUAUUCUAACAGUUGUGAACAAUGGAGGCAUACAGUUCAAUGGCAGUAAUAUUCCAAUACGACUUAGAUGUUUUAUAGCAGAUGCACCAGCUCGAGCUUUUAUUCUAAAUCAUCGUGGUCAUCUGUCUAAUAAACCAUGCUCAAAAUGCAAAGUUAGUGGAACAAUAAGUGAAGGUCGCAAUGUUUUUAAAGGAAUAAAUCAUUCUGUAAGAAGAGAUGAAGAAUAUGUUGCAGUUGUGGACGAAGAUCAUCAUAAAGAAGAAUGCCUUUUUGGCACUGCUCUUUAACGGAUGACACUGAAAGUGACGAUUAUGAGGAAAUCCACAGAGAAACAGGCACAUAUAUUGUUGCAACAAUCAUACAUAGUGAAGUGAUUUAGUGUUUUUCCUAUUAGUUAUCAGGAGUUUAAUAUUUACGCAGAGUGAACUGUUUACAGUGUUUCUGUUAAUAAUUUUCUUUUCAAUGCACGUGAAAAAAAUAUUUUAGAAUACAUCGAUGGCGAUACUUUCCGACCAGUCUUAAAAAAUGAAUGUGGAUUAGGCCUAUAGGGGAAACCACAAAAAAAAACGCGCCAAACUAUGUACCGCAAGGUGGUGAGGAAACCAUAGUCUUUGCAAAAAAACUUCACCAAAUGUUGAACGAAUCUCAUAAUGUUGAGUAUAAAGAAUUGGAUAACGUAAUCUUUAUAAUAUCGCAUCUGUACAACUUGGAGGUAAUUUUUUUAAAUAUUAACGACGUAGACCUAUUCUGUGCGACUUCCCAUAAACUCACCAGUGAAAUAUGUAGUUACGUUAUACCUAAUGCCAAACAAAGCAAUGGCUAGACGUAUAGCUGCCUUAUAAUUAUGCAUCGACUUGCAUCGAGGAAACGAGAUAGAUGAUAAUUUGUUACCUAUGAGAAAGAAGCAUUUGAAAAUGAAGCCUAAAGACGCCGAAGUGCCUACUUUGCCGGAUGAAAGGAGGGCGGAUUUUUCGGACCUGGUACAACAGAAGACAAUAUUAUUUUAAAAAGAUAGCUGGGGCAUUGACGGAUUGUAAGCCAAUAGUCGGAGUGCCGUCUUAUCUAUAUUAAUAGGGAAUUAAGUUCUUCUCUACCAGAGGAGUAAAAUACACACGGCAGAUGUACUUAUCCUUCUGAAGAAUCGGCCGUUGGAUUUGACAUAUUCACAUUGGAAAGUAGCUUCUUUUAUUUUGUAUAUCAUUUAAUGUGUAUAACAAUAAAGAUUUUUAUCACAA